GAAGGUAUAGCUCAGUGGUAGAAUGUGUGCUUAGCAUGCUCUAGGUCCUGGGUUCAAUCCCCAGUACUUCCA
rnacentral:tRNA from 1 species